ACACACACACACAUACAAACUUCCGCCUUUAUAAUAUUAGUGUGAUUACAGUCCAGUCAAAAUAGACAUUCAAGGAUACAAUAAUUUGCAUAGAGGUAAAAAUUGGUACGAAAGUUGGGAAUACCGAUAUGAAUGAACUGUGAAAAGUCCCAAUCGAUCUCACAUUUGCAAAAAAUAUAUAUUCAAGGUCAAA